GACUUAUACUACUUGACUCAUAUACCCUGGAGCGAUACAAGGCAGAUCGCCAAAGACGUGAUCAUGCUCUGGAAGCAAUUGAUGUGAAGGUACUCAAUGACCAAGAGAAAGCAGACGUGGACAUUCAACAUGCUGAAUUUUUGGCAUCGACAGUUUCUGCGGAUGCAUAUGCUGAGACGAUAUACUUGACACCGAGGAGGGUUUCGUUUCAGGGAGGAGAGGAUGAUAUGGCAAACACUAGAUCUAUUUGUACCGUCGACCACCAUUACAUACAAGAAGUUGGUCUGGUUUAAGUUAAGGCCGUUUCGCUCGUCACUGUUUGCGAUAACAUGAGGCAUAUUGAUCAGGAGAAAAUGAAGGUUGAAUUAGAAUCACAAUUUACUUCUUUGCCAAAAUACACAAUGCAUGCUUGGAUAUUAGGAAAGGAAGAAAAUAAUUCAAACAUAUACCGUUUGAUCAAAGCAUGUGUCAACUUGGUUGUUUCUUUUGGUUACCAUGUCCACAACAAGACUAUACUACAUGGACAUGAUACCUUUUGAUUGAGACUACCGAAAGUAUCCUAAUUGUUUACUACUUCUCAGGAUCAAGGCCACAGGAGAUAUAUGUGUAGGUGAGCAGGUCUAAAUGGUGGGUUUUGCUGUCCUUGAGAAACGUUGGAUGGGGGCUGCCAGGAAAUUGUGUUUAAUUACUUUAAGUAUUGAAAUUGUAAGGAUUACUUGCUAAGUUAAAGCUUGUGAUCAUAUUUACUUCCUUAGGUGUUGGUCAAGAGUUAGAGAUAAAGAUGUUUUUGUUUGUUUAACUUAUUAGGAAA